rnacentral:rRNA from 1 species
UACAGAGGGUGCGAGCGUUGUCCGGAAUCACUGGGCGUAAAGGGCGCGUAGGCGGUCUCUUAAGCGUGUGGUGAAAGCCCGGGGCUCAACUCCGGGUCGGCCGUGCGAACUGGGGGACUGGAGCUUGUCAGAGGCAGGCGGAAUUCCGGGUGUAGCGGUGGAAUGCGUAGAGAUCCGGAAGAACACCGGUGGCGAAGGCGGCCUGCUGGGACAAUGCUGACGCUGAGGCGCGACAGCGUGGGGGAGCAAACAGG